UUGUCUUCAUGAGAUAUUUUUGCUCAGGGAAGGAAUGUUUGAGCGAAUUCCUGAUAUAGUUUUAUGGCCAACAUGCCAUGAUGAUGUAGUUAAGAUUGUGAAUCUAGCUUGCAAAUAUAAUCUUUGUAUCAUACCAAUUGGUGGUAGGUAUUGUGCCUUUUGAAUUUUAAUAUGUAAAUUUGUUCUAUUUAAAAUAUUUGUAUUUUAAAUAUUUGCGUCACCCUACUGAAAACAAACAUUAUUGUAAUUGUGAUGUGGUUAUUCUCAAAAAUUGGUCAAUGAUGCUCAUUUUUGUUCUAAGUAGGAUUCCUUAAACUGUUUGAGACAUGGUAUACCUUAGUUCAUGGCUUUUUCCUCUAUGGGCCCUAGUUGAAGCUGUAAUUUAAUGCCUGAAUAACAAAAUGUUUCUGCUUUAGUAAUUACUUUUUAACCUGUAUAUUUAUGGAGAGAAUUUUCUUUUUCAAAAGCUAAAUAUAAAUAUGUCCUAUAUAAACCUUUGAGAUUAGCAUAGGAAUGGUAAUAAGACUCCCAACAAUUCUAGAAGCUCCAUAUUCCCUCUUCAGCUGAUGCUUUCUG
rnacentral:lncRNA from 10 species